UUUUCCCCGGACAUGUCCUCUUUUGGGGCGUUGUCAGGCGUGUCCGGGCGUUUUUUUUUUAAUGCGUCAAAUGUCCGGUGUUGUGCCGAAUUAUGCAACCCCGCCGUAAAAUGUACCCCCUCGCGGGAGCGCGCACCGGCAUUUUGAAUUAGGGUUGCGUGUAUUUGUUGGCUGAGUUCUUAACUUUUACUUUCAGAGCGUGCUUAUCACAACAUACAAGAUGCCGCCAUGGCGACACACCACCCCCCUUUACCGGGCUAUCGCGCAUGCUUGUCACUCCUGUUGCAUGUUGGGUAGUGUAGUCCUUUAAUUCCCUGGCUCAUAACAUAACACUACCUGUAAAUAUUGUAGUGGCUGGCUACGGGGUGUUAGCCAAUGGCUUUGGUUGGGGGCGGGACUUCCGGGGAAGUUAGGGAAGUGACGCUAUUGACAGGAAGUGUUGGUUCGAGUUUCGCCGGGAAAAGGAAAUAGACUUCUUGGUAAACACUAAGGACUACCGUGACUAUGGCGCCUCGCCUUCACCGGGGCAACUGUUGCUAGCCUCUUGCUGAAGCCCGGCCCCCUGCUGCAUGCUGAUUGGCUGAUUACGGAGGUACAUGUGUUUGGAGGUGGGGGGAAGCCGGAGUACCCGGAGGGAACCCACGCAGUCACGGGGAGAACAUGCAAACUCCACACAGAAAGAUCUCGAGCCCAGGAUUGAACUCAUGACUACUCAGGACCGUCGUAUUGUGAGGCAGACACACUAUCCUCUGUGUCACCGUGCUGCCCGACGUUGUAAACAAUAUGUUAAAUUGUAUUGUUUGCUGUUUUUCUUUUUCUCUCUCUUUCUUUUCUUUUUCUUUUAAAUUUUAAUUGUACUGCUUUUGUACAUCAUGUCCAGGGGACUACAGAUGAAAACUAGCCUUCUGGCUAAUUCUGGCUUUUUUUAACCAUGUGUGGUCAUGUGGUUUAUGAGAUUGCAUUGUUCCCUUUGAAAUAAACUAAUCUAAAUCCAUCCAUCCAA